GGGAUUGCCCUAGUAACGGCGAGUGAAGCGGCAACAGCUCAAAUUUGAAAUCUGGCUCUUUUAGGGUCCGAGUUGUAAUUUGCAGAGGGCGCUUUGGCGUUGGUAGCGGUCCAAGUUCUUUGGAACAGGACGUCAUAGAGGGUGAGAAUCCCGUAUAUGGUCGCUAGCCUCCGCCGUGUAAAGCCCCUUCGACGAGUCGAGUUGUUUGGGAAUGCAGCUCUAAAUGGGAGGUAAAUUUCUUCUAAAGCUAAAUACUGGCCAGAGACCGAUAGCGCACAAGUAGAGUGAUCGAAAGAUGAAAAGCACUUUGGAAAGAGAGUCAAAUAGCACGUGAAAUUGUUGAAAGGGAAGCGCUUGCAGCCAGACUUGCCUGUAGUUGCUUAUCUAGACUUUUGUCUAGUGCACUCUUCUGCGGGCAGGCCAGCAUCAGUUUAGGCGGUUGGAUAAAGAUCUCUAUCACGUACCUCCCUUCGGGGUAGGCCUUAUAGGGGAGAUGACAUACAGCCAGCCUAAACUGAGGUCCGCGCAUCUGCUAGGAUGCUGGCGUAAUGGCUGUAAGCGGCCCGUCUUGAAACACGGACCAAGGAGUCUAACAUCUAUGCGAGUGUUUGGGUGUUAAGCCCAGACGCGUAAUGAAAGUAAACGGAGGUGGGAACCUUUUAGGUGCACCAUCGACCGAUCCUGAUGUAUUCGGAUGGAUUUGAGUAAGAGCAUGGCUGUUGGGACCCGAAAGAUGGUGAACUAUGCUUGAAUAGGGUGAAGCCAGAGGAAACUCUGGUGGAGGCUCGCAGCGGUUCUGACGUGCAAAUCGAUCGUCAAAUUUGGGCAUAGGGGCG
rnacentral:rRNA from 1 species